GUCUGUGGCUUUGCUGCUCCAGGAUUAACAUCCUGUUCUGGGCUUCAACUUUCUUUUUUCCUCCUCCCCUUUUCUCCUUUGGCUUCUCUCUCCAUUCCCCAAGAUUUACUGUUCUAAAUAUAACUUCCAACAGGUGUGCAGCCAGGACAUGGAAACUGUGCCCAGCUGUCCCCCACACGUGGACACUCUCCAACUGGCCUGCUGAAAUUCUAGGCUCCAGCACCCUCAUCGGGUGAGGAUGGCCCUCCCUAGGUCCUGAAAGUGAGGAGAGCAGCUUCUCUUUCCUGAGGCCUGUGGAUAAGGAUGUAGCUCUCUCAGCUAUUGCUCCAGCAUCAUGCAUGCCACCAUGCUCCCUGCCAUGAUGAUAAUGGACCACACCUCUGAAACUAAAAACCACUCAGACGUGGCCAGAAUGACCCACUGGAGAGAGCAUUCACCUUGAAGAAUGGCAGGUGCUGGAGGAAGACACUGUCUGUGUAGUCUAAAGUCUACAGCCCCCACAGCCUAAACCACAGCCACCAACAGCUCUGCCAGGCAACCUCUCAUCUCCAAGGCACACAUGAGGCAGAGAUCUAGAGGCUCAGACCUUUCCAACAUGCAGCUCUUUGAACUGGCUACCAGCAAAGCCUUGAUGCUUCCCACCGUGGCCUCUACAAUGUAUCCUGCUUCUAUGACAACUAUUUCCACAUCGGUGCAUCCUACCACAUCUGAUUAAAAUAAAUCCUGAGGACACUUCAGAAUUACCAAACUAAAUAAGAAGCCCCAACCACAGGAAGAGGACACAUGAAAGCAGGGCAGUCGGCAGCCACUCGGACAGCUUAUGUCAGGUGCCAACAAUGAGUGGGACUCUCGGACAUCCUUACAAACAUUCAGGGCCGAUAACAACACCUCACUGCAGUUAUACUAGAGAGUGCUAAAUUAUACUAAGGAGUGCUAAACUGAGCCCAGUCAAUCACAGAAGCAUGAAUUUCUGUCUAAACCUUUAUGGCCUGGGAGCACACACGCUACAGAUGACCAAAGUGAGCACGAUGGUGUCACUGCACAAUGACAUUUCGUUGUAGGAUGUGUUCCUAUAAGAAAAGAUCACCAUGAGUGGUCCUGUAGCACCCAACUGCAGUGCAAAGUGUAAGGCAUGGGCAGCAUCAGGGACUGUGUUAGAAAUACAGAAUUCAGCAGCUAGGGGAUAGUCAGUCAGUAACAUGCUUGCAAUGCAAGCAGGAGAGCCUGAGGUCAAUCCCCAACAGCCACAGUUGUAAUCCCCACACUGGGGAGGUAGAGACAGGUGGAUCUCUAGAGCUCACAGUCCAAACAGCCUAAUCAGUGAGCCCCCAAGCCCUAGUGGCAGACCCUGUCUCAAAAUACAUGAUGGGGAGCUGAAGAGAUGGCCCAGCGGUUAAGACCACUUGUUACUCUGCCAAGGGACCUGUGUUUGUGUCCCAGCACCCACAAGGUGGCUCAUGAACAUCUGUAACUCAAGUUCCAAGGGAUCUAACACCCUCUUCUGGCAACCAUGGACACCAGGCACACAUAUAGUACAUAGACAUACAUGCCGGCAAAAUACCUGUCUUAGUUUCUAUUACUGCGACUAAACACCAUGACCAAAAAACAAGUUGGGGAAGACCACGUUUAUUUGGCUUACA